rnacentral:misc_RNA from 1 species
UGUCGAUCGAUCUCGUGAAGCUCGCCCUCGGCCAGUUCGAUCUGGGCAAGGCGGGCGCCAUGUCGAUCGUCUACAACUUGAUCAUCCUGGCCCUGUGCUGGGUGUUCUACACGGUGAUGACGAAGAGCGGCGACGGGCGGGGCGCCUGACCAUGCCGGGACGUCGGUUCAUCAUCGCCGUGUACCUCGUCUUCCUGCUCGUGCCGAUCUACUGGCUGCUCAACAUGAGCCUGAAGACGAACGCCGAGAUCAUCUCCGGGCUGACCCUCUGGCCCCAUCGGCUGACCUUCCAGAACUACAAGACCAUCUUCACCGACUCCUCCUGGUACU